UGGUGACUAAUGGGUAAGAUACUAC
rnacentral:piRNA from 1 species